GGAACUCACUAAAACCGCUCGCCGUUCGCUUCUACACCUGACAACCCCCGCCGUGCCUCUAUCGACCCUCCCUCCUCCGCCUCGAGCCUCCGCCGCCGCUCAGCAGUUGCGGACCUCUCUCUCUCUCUCCCCGGUGCGAACCGGCCGUCACCGUCGGGAAGGAUGGGGUGCGUGCCAUGCCGGCACUCACCAUCUCAGCAUCCUAAGAACCGCAGUUUUGGGAGCUGGCCGAGUUCUUUCGGUAUGUCACCAGAAAAUUGGCAGCCAACAACGCUCCUGACAUGCACAAGAAAAAGCUUUCAAGGUUACUCAAGGAUCCAAUGGUCGAUGGAAGUGGACCGCUCAAGUUGUUGUAAGAUAAGUCCCUGCAGAUGAUCUUAAUAGAUUUAUCACAACCAAACAAGGUAAAAACUUUCACAGGUAGAUUCAGCAACAUUAAGGAAGAGUCCAUGUUGCAGCUCUUGUUUAUAACACUCAAAAGCUUUCUGUAAAAUUGACAAACUUGUAGUACAUACAGGUACUGUAGUUCUGACAAUGACUGUACAUCUCCUGAAAGUGACCCAGACAAUCCAAAACUUGACAGCCUACUGUAAACCACAAGAAAAAAGACAUCAUUUAAAUGAACAUAGAAGAAACAGCAUCUUGAUUUAAUGAAAUAUGUGUGUGUGUGAGAGAGAGAGAGAGAGUUGAUUCAGAUAAAAUGGUUCUAACAUCGAGGUGACACGAUUCUGGAUGCAGGAUACUCCUGGCCAUUUUUGUCCACAAGGAUCAUUUCCAACCCAAUCCGAUAGCUUGGACAUGGCGUUAUCCCAGGAAGCUGCUAUGCCUUUGAGGGCAGAGGCUGUAAGGCAAUGAGAGUGAAGAAACAUCAUCAUGCAACAAAAGCUAGUUUUUACAGCAAAUUAACUGGAAAACACAAGGAGGCUGAUGAAACACUUACUAUCUUGUGGAUCUGUAUCUGCUGAUAUGAUGAGAGCACGGUGAAUAAUGAUCAGGGAGACUAGCAGAUGGAUGAUCCUCCAAGAAGUUGGAGGAUGCGCCAUGGUGAACUUUAUUUCAGGUUGCUGAGAAGCCCUUUCUUGUGUUACCAACUCUCCACUACUCAAUUCUGAGCACUUGCAGUGACAUGAUGUUAUGAAGGCUGAAUAUGCACAUCAAUUGUGAACUGGUCAAUGGAAUCAGUCAAGAAUGUGGCUUUCAUCUCCUCUCAAUGGAUUGCCUUUUCAAAUUCAUCCAAUUAAUGGUGAAGUCCCAGAUUUUAAAAACCAAGAGAGAGCUCACAAUGGGAGUCAACGGUGAGCUAUUGGUUGGCAGGGAGCAUGAAGUUCUCUCCUAUGAAAUAGGAUCCGAAUGAUUCAAAUUAUUUUUACCAUGUUUGAAGUAUCAUUCCAAUUGAAUAUAAAAUAAUUGCUGCUCCUUCUAAGACACUUGAAUGUUUAUUGCAUGCAUAUUAUGUUUUGUUGAAUAGUGUAGAUUUUAGUUGUCGUAUAUUCAUGGUGGGAUUGACUUUAGAAAACUAUUGGGACCAUUUUGUUGUGUACAUGUGCUGAAUCUGAGGUUUAUUCGAAUGAUUUGCUAAGAAAUGGUCUGGUUUGAACACAAAACAUCUGAUAUUUCUAGACAUAU